UACGUAGGGUGCGAGCGUUGUCCGGAAUUAUUGGGCGUAAAGAGCUCGUAGGCGGCUUGUCGCGUCGGAUGUGAAAGCCCGGGGCUUAACUCCGGGUCUGCAUUCGAUACGGGCAGGCUAGAGUUCGGUAGGGGAGAUCGGAAUUCCUGGUGUAGCGGUGAAAUGCGCAGAUAUCUGGAGGAACACCGGUGGCGAAGGCGGCAUCCUGGACCGGUAUUGACGCUGAGGCGCGAAAGCCAGGGGAGCAAACGGG
rnacentral:rRNA from 1 species